CGCAAGUCGCGUCUGUCCGUAGCUUCCGCUGAUGUCAGCAGUCUGAGGCAGGAAGUACAGUGACGGAGUCUGUGGCGGCUGCCGGUGACGGGCGGGAGCACAGAAGACCGCCCAUCUAUUGACGUUGAAGAAACACCAGAACCACUCACUUCUUCCCAUGUAUCUUUUCUGAAGAACCCCUUUGAACGGCUCCUGCUGUUAUUGGCUGCCCACUUAAGCUAGGAGUUUACUUUUUGGUGAGAAAAAGCAAAUUUUUUUUCGAUUUUGGGUGUGGUCCACAAAAACAAGACUUUAUUUCUUUAGGAGCAGGAGUUUAUUUUUUGUUGAGAAAAACCAAUUUUGUAUUCAUUUUUGGGUGUGGUCCACAAAAACAAGACUUUAUUUCUUUAGG